AGAUCAGAAUGAAUCAUUAAUUGAUAUUAACAGAGAAAUAGCUAAACUGCAACAACAAAUAUCAGUAAUGAGUGUACAUAUACUAAAUAAAAGAGAAGAGAAUGAAAAGUAUAGGAAUAUAAUAAGAAGGAAUAAACCAACAGCAGAAAAUGUUUUUAUUGCUCAUUAUGACUAUCAUGCAACAACAAAUAGUCAAAUAUCAUUCAGUGAGGGAGAGCAGCUGGAGAUAUAUGAGAA